GGGAAUGUGGCUUAGUGGUAGAGUGCUUGCCUAACAUGUAUGAAGCCCUGGGUUCGAUUCCUCAGUACCA
rnacentral:tRNA from 1 species